rnacentral:rRNA from 1 species
AUUGAACGCUGGCGGCAUGCCUUACACAUGCAAGUCGAACGGCAGCACGGGAGCUUGCUCCUGGUGGCGAGUGGCGAACGGGUGAGUAAUACAUCGGAACGUACCCUGAAGUGGGGGAUAACGUAGCGAAAGUUACGCUAAUACCGCAUAUUCUGUGAGCAGGAAAGAGGGGGAUCGCAAGACCUCUUGCUUUAGGAGCGGCCGAUGUCGGAUUAGCUAGUUGGUGAGGUAAAGGCUCACCAAGGCGACGAUCCGUAGCGGGUCUGAGAGGAUGAUCCGCCACACUGGGACUGAGACACGGCCCAGACUCCUACGGGAGGCAGCAGUGGGGAAUUUUGGACAAUGGGCGCAAGCCUGAUCCAGCCAUGCCGCGUGAGUGAAGAAGGCCUUCGGGUUGUAAAGACUCUUUCGGUUGGGGAAGAAAUUGCUUCGGUUAAUACCUGGAGUA